rnacentral:ncRNA from 1 species
UAGCAGCCAUAGCUCCGAGCAUUGUUUGCUAAGUUGCUUUUUGUUCUACGAACAAAACACGAUAGGUGAUCAAUGCCAGUGACGUAGAUUGUCACCAGGGUCGUUUUAGAAAUGAAACGGCCUCCCGUAUUUGGAAAGGUGUCCCGUGGCUAUUCAA